AUUGAAUCUAGAAACUAUGGCUUGGCAUGGUGGAUCACUCCUGUAACCCCAGCGCUUUGGGAGGCCAAGGCAGAUGAUCCCUUGAGGCCAGGAGUUCAAGACCAGCCUGGGCAAGAUAGUGAGACACACUCCCCCCAACACACAUACAAAAUAAAAAAUUUAUCCAGGCAUGGUGGUGUGUGCCUGUAGUCUUCACUACUUGGAAGGCUAAGGCAAGAGGAUUGCUUGAGCCCAAGACUUUGAAUGGCAGUAAGCUAUGAUAGUGCCACUGAAUUCCCACCUGGGUGACAGAACAAGAUCCUUUCUCUAAAAACAAACAAAGAAACAAACUCCCACAUUAACGAGAUCACUAGGUGACUUACAGCCAUGAAACUUUGAGAAAUCCUAGGUGGGACCUGAGAUACUGCAUUUCUAACACCAUUCAGAUAAUGUCCAUGCUGCUGGUCUUGGUCCAAGAGACACAGCUUGCAGCAAGUCUUGAGGGUCAUUUAGUAUCAUUUGCUAGUAGUAAAUAAUGUCAGACUUUGAUGUUUGAAAAAAUCUUUAUGUUUAUCUUGGAGUUAGUGCUUAAUGGGACAUGAUAUUUGAGGUUGAGAGUUUUUAUUUAUUUAUUUCAUUUUAGAGAUAGUCCUCUUCUGAUCUGUUGAGAAAUUUUCUUUCUUUUUUUUUUUUUUUUUUUCAAGAUGGAGUCUUGCUCUGUCACCCAGGCUGGAGUGCAAUGGCAUGAUCUCAGCUUCGCUGCAACCUCUGCCUUCUGGGUCCAAGUGAUUCUCCUGCCUGAGCCUCCCAAGUAGCUGGGAUUACAGGUAUGCAUCAACAUGCCUGGCUAAUUUUUUUAUUUUUAUUAGAGACAGGGUUUCACCAUAUUGGCCAGGCUGGUCUCAAACUCCUUACCUCAAGUGACCCUCCCACCUUGGCCUACCAAAGUGCUGGGAUUACAACUGUGAGCCACUGUACUGGGCUGAGAAAUUUUCUAUUCAUAUGAUUAACCUUCCUUGUGGGUAACCUCUGUUUUUCUCUCUUGAUGUUCUCUUUAUCUUUGAGAUUUUGUUUCCUUACUAAUCAUUUAAUAGUGAAUUUCUUUUUAUUUAUAUUGCUUCAAAUCUACUGUGAUUCUAGAAUCUAAAAUUUGGUCUGUAAACAAUUCUGAAAUGUUCUUAUUUAUUUUCUAGGUGAAUAUUGCCUUCCCCAUGUUUUUCCUAUUCUCUCCUUUUAGAAUUUCUUUUAAACAUUUCUUAUAUCUUAUAUAAGAUAUCUUAUAUCUUAUAUAAGAUCCUUAGUAUCUCCUAAUCUCUCUUUUGUAUUUUAUACAGUUUGCCUGUAUGUAUUGCAUUAUAAAUAAUUUCUUGAGAUUUACUUUCUGGUUCACUAAUUCUCUCUUCAGCUGUGCCUUAUUAUGUGUUUAAAAUUUAUAUUGAGUUUAGUUCUUAUUAUUAAAUACCUAUGUUUUCCAUUUCUCUCUAUGCGUAUCUUCUUAGUUUUUUUCAAUGUUAUCAUGUUCUGUUUUACCUAUUUUAGAACCUUGUAUUUUUUUCUCAAAUAAUUUUGAAUGUAUUUACGUUUUAGUCUGCAUUCAUUAUUUCCUCUACUAAAGGUUUUUGGAAGUCUAAUACGUUCUUUAUGCAAGAUCUUGCCUGUGGUGACUUGUUUCCUUGAGCAGUAUUUAAACUUUAAUGUACACAGUUUACCCUUGACCACUACAAGCUUGAACUCUGUGGGUCAACUUAAUACAGUGAGUUCUUUUUUCAACCAAAUGUGGAUAAAAAAUACAGCAUUCAAAAGAUGAGAAACCCAUACAGAGAGCCAACUUUUAAUAUCCACAGCUUCCACAGGGCUGACUGUGGGACUUGCGUAUUCAUGGACUUGGGUACGUUGAGGUCUAGAAACCAGUGUUUCAGUGUACCAACAGAUGAUUGUAGUUCAAUUAUGCAGCAUCUCAUGAAAGUGAGUAUUUUGAUUCAGUAGGUCUAGGGGAAGUCCUAGAUUCUUAAUUUCUAACAAGCUCUCAAUUGAUGCUAAUGCUGCUGAUCCAUAUGUCAUUCUUCCAGUAGCAAGCUCUAGAGUUUUUGUUUUUCUAUUAUUUACUUACUUAGCUUGAAAGAGAUUCAUGUUGGAGAAUUUAUUUGUGACCUGAAUUUAAAACCCUUCUGAAGAAUGUUUUAACCUCUGUCAGGGGCAUUAACCUGGGACUGUUGUGUGUAUAUCCACGUCCACAUGCUGAUUCUUUUUUUUUUCUUUUUUUUUGGCUUGUGGUUUCUAGGAGCUUUCAAGUAGUAUAAAUUUGGAUGCCAAAUUUGCAUUAGAGUUAGGUAAUUGUUAUCAGCUCUCAGAGGAGAGUUUUCUCUGUCCCUUUUCCUCCAAUCUAGGGCCAAUAUGAGAAAGCAAGAUGCUGUGCCAUAUCCCUUUGCUGGUGGUCAGACUCUUUCUAUUGUACUCUCUCAGUGAAGGUGUAAUCCUUCAAAGAUUUUAUUUGAGGGUGUCAGGCCGAACUCCCCACUUUGUAUGGACCCAAGGACUUCUCUUCCAAUUUAUUCAUUAAACCCAAGUUCUCAGGACAUCCCAACACAGGCAAGAUAAGAUUCAAGACUAUAAAUUCUAUGAGGCAUCAUGUUCCUGCAAGGGAAAUUCAGCUAACAGGAUUUUUUCAUCAACUGAAGAACAGGGGCAUCUGCUGCCACAGAGAGGAGAAGUUGCUCUUUUGCCUUUGGCCAUGGAUGUAUCAGGGUGGCUGUGUAUUCGCCUGGAGAGCCCACAGAUGCCACUGACACAGCAGCUGCUCUGACAAUAGCCCAUCAAUGGCUCCUGGAAAAACCUAGUAGACUGGCAGCUUUCAUUGCAAAUAACCAGGAAAUAAGAAGAUAGUGCAUUUUAUAUUUACAAGAGUGUUUCCUCUCCUGAAGCGUCCCCAGAGUUUCCACUCCAGGCCUGAGAUGAGUGAUUACCCAGCACAGAUUGUCUUAUUUAUUUGGAAGACUCUCCAGCUCAGUCCAGCUGCUUUUUCUUGGGACAGCAGACAGACCCUGGACAUGGUGCUCAGCAACUCAAUCUAUUGAAUUUCAAAACAUGUAGAGGUGUCGACAUAAGUCUCAAAACUCUGCACAGAGAAUCCCAAACCACAAGCUUGGACAUUUCCAAGGAAAGAAGCACAGGGUGGCAGGAUGAGGCAAGAGGCUGCUUACUCCAAGCCAAAUCUCAUGACCCAACCGCAUAGUCAUAAGAGGAGUGCGUUCAGUUGCUUUAGGAAACCAAGAGCAGUGAAAGAAAACACUUGGGAAUUUACUGGUAGAUAAGGUUUUUCUGAUUGAAGAAAAGGUACAAAGUAAUGCAGACCAAUGAUGGUUUCUGGGCAGCAUUAUGAUUAUGUCUUUUUAGGAAAAUGCCCCUUCUAGGGGACCUCACUUGCUGUCUGCCCACAGAUUUAUCUGGACUGAAUCUCGGUUACUAGUUUUUGCUUUCAAAGACCUCCUAUCUAGGGGAACAUUUGAAAGGAAUUUACCAAGUGCUUCCCUGCUGCAUAAUCUGUGUGUUCUGUGUUAACACUAACUUGCAUUUUGCAUGUGGAGCCAGAAGCUCUCUUCUCGGGAGCCUGGGUCAUACUGCUCCUUUAAAAAUGAAAGUGAGAGAGAGAGAGAGGCCACGCUGAUUUUAGAAUUGAGUCAGGGCUUUGUGAUUUAUAGAGUACGCAGGGUGAAUAGGCGUGGUUUCUAGAUAUCCACAGGCAAGUCUUACCUUAAAAGACACAGGACUUUGCACACGCCUUACAGAACAUUCAGAACAGAAGAAUCAAGGCUUGUAACUGAUGAGACUAAUAGAUAGAAUAUAUUAAACUGAGUAGAAUCUGGUGCCUAAAAAUUUACAUAAAAGUGGCCCAGAGAAUCCACUCAGCACAUGUCCUGGCCCACUCAGAAAUGAUGAAAUACAAAUAUUUAAAGAAAAAUCUGGAUUCCUUUGUGUGUAUUAAAAAUCCUCUCAAAUAUUCUAAAUGGAUGAAGUUUGGUCUUGGUGAGGGAUAGAGGGUCUGAGACAGUAUUAGCAGUUUUAUUUUUUGCCCAAGUUGUACAGUGCCUGCUUUAUCCAGGUUUCUGUGGAUUUUAUGUUGGGGGGAAGAAAGAAGCAAAAGAGCAGUGGGCCUGGUUAAUCCUUUUAUCAAGGUCACUCCACCACCAGCAUCUCAGAGGGAUUUCCAGGCCAAAAGCAAUCCUUUGUGUGUGUGUCUUACGAUAGUGGCAUGUCCUCAACUCCUUUGAAAGUAUGAGGUCAGGAGUUCGAGACCAGCCUGGCCAACAUGGUGAAACGCUGUCUCUACUAAAAAUACAAAAAUUAGCUGGGUGUGGUGCAGGCCUGUAAUCCCAGCUACUGGGGAGGCUGAGGCAGGACAAUGGCUUGAACCUAGGAGGCAGAGGUUGCAGUGAGCUGAGAUCAUGACACUGCACUCUAGCCUGGGCAACAGAGCAAGACUGUCUCAAAAAAAAAAAAAAAAGAAAGAAAGAAAGAAAAAAGCAAGAAAGAAAGCUAGCUGUUUCCACAGUGAUCAACUCCAUCAACUGUCAUGGACAAGUACAAGUUGGACCUAAGCUGUGCAUCGUUUUUUUUUUUUUUAAACCAGGCUUGUUUCCUGGAUAAUUUCCCUUAGAUAUAUUGCUGUGUCAAUUAGAAAUCAUAUUUAUUUUCACUUAUGAAAAAGACGUCUGGAGAUGUGCAAUCUAGGGCUGCAGUCUUUCUUACCUUUCUAUUUUCCCUUGUAGGGGGUGUCCUUGAUUUGCAUUCUUACAAGGUGGCUUCAAGAGCAUAAGCUACCAAGUUAGAGGUCCAGAUGGAGAGAAAGGUGAGCAGGGAGAGGAACAGGGCAUGAGCCAGCCAAGUCAGCUUAAAAGCUUUCAUAAAAGCCGCACCCAUAGAUUCCUGCUAACAUCUUAUGUGCCAGAACUAUGCCAGUUAACCCUACCCUCCAGCAACCUGCAUCGGGACUGGAAAUACAGCUGUAUUUUUUUUUUUUAUAAACCCGAACACAUUGUUUUCCAAUUAGGAAUUUGUUAGGGAAAAGAAGAUGAUGGGAGAGUCGAUGAAAUGGAAAUUUAAAAAAUCCACCUUACUAUGUUAUUGUGGGGAUUAAAUCCAUGCAUCAAUCACUUGAUAAUACUCACUAAUCUGGUGGCACAUGAAAAUAAUAUUUUCUUCUCUCUCCUUAGUCUUACUCACUUCUCC
rnacentral:lncRNA from 1 species